GGGUGAGUAAUGCCUAGGAAUCUGCCUGGUAGUGGGGGACAACGUUUCGAAAGGAACGCUAAUACCGCAUACGUCCUACGGGAGAAAGCAGGGGACCUUCGGGCCUUGCGCUAUCAGAUGAGCCUAGGUCGGAUUAGCUAGUUGGUGAUGUAAUGGCUCACCAAGGCGACGAUCCGUAACUGGUCUGAGAGGAUGAUCAGUCACACUGGAACUGAGACACGGUCCAG
rnacentral:rRNA from 1 species